rnacentral:rRNA from 1 species
AAUUUAUUUAAAGGGCUGCAGUAUAUUGACUGUACAAAGGUAGCAUAAUCAAUAGUCUUUUAAUUGGAGACUUGUAUGAAUGAUUUGAUGAAAUAUAAACUGUCUCUUUAUUAAAAAUAAAAUUUAAUUUUUUAGUUAAAAAGCUAAAAUAAUUAUAAAAGACGAGAAGACCCUAUAGAGUUUUAUAUUUAUUUUAUUUAGAAAUUAUUUAUAUAAUUUAAAUAUAUAAUAAUUUAAAUAUUUUAUUGGGGUGAUAGAAAAAUUAAAUAAACUUUUUUUAAAUUUUAACAUUAAUUUAUGAAAUUAUGAUCCAUAAUUUAUGAUUAAAAGAAAAAAUUACCUUAGGGAUAACAGCGUAAUUUUUUUUUUUAGUUCAGAUAAAAAAAAGAGUUUGCGACCUCGAUGUUGGAUUAAGAUAAAAUUUAAAUGCAAAAGUUUAAAAUUU